rnacentral:rRNA from 1 species
ACGCUGGCGGCGUGCUUAACACAUGCAAGUCGAACGAUGAAGCCUAGCUUGCUAGGUGGAUUAGUGGCGAACGGGUGAGUAAUACGUGAGUAACCUACCUUUAACUCUGGGAUAAGCCUGGGAAACUGGGUCUAAUACCGGAUACGACCAAUCUCCGCAUGGGGUGUUGGUGGAAAGCGUUAUGUAGUGGUUAUAGAUGGGCUCACGGCCUAUCAGCUUGUUGGUGAGGUAACGGCUCACCAAGGCGACGACGGGUAGCCGGCCUGAGAGGGUGACCGGCCACACUGGGACUGAGACACGGCCCAGACUCCUACGGGAGGCAGCAGUGGGGAAUAUUGCACAAUGGGCGCAAGCCUGAUGCAGCGACGCCGCGUGAGGGAUGACGGCCUUCGGGUUGUAAACCUCUGUUAGCAGGGAAGAAGAGAAAUUGACGGUACCUGCAGAGAAAGCGCCGGCUAACUACGUGCCAGCAGCCGCGGUAAUACGUAGGGCGCGAGCGUUGUCCGGAAUUAUUGGGCGUAAAGAGCUUGUAGGCGGUUUGUCGCGUCUGCUGUGAAAGGCCGGGGCUUAACCCCGUGUAUUGCAGUGGGUACGGGCAGACUAGAGUGCAGUAGGGGAGACUGGAAUUCCUGGUGUAGUGGUGGAAUGCGCAGAUAUCAGGAGGAACACCGAUGGCGAAGGCAGGUCUCUGGGCUGUAACUGACGCUGAGAAGCGAAAGCAUGGGGAGCGAACAGGAUUAGAUACCCUGGUAGUCCAUGCCGUAAACGUUGGGCACUAGGUGUGGGGGACAUUCCACGUUUUCCGCGCCGUAGCUAACGCAUUAAGUGCCCCGCCUGGGGAGUACGGCCGCAAGGCUAAAACUCAAAGAAAUUGACGGGGGCCCGCACAAGCGGCGGAGCAUGCGGAUU